rnacentral:rRNA from 1 species
UACGUAGGGUGCAAGCGUUGUCCGGAAUUAUUGGGCGUAAAGAGCUCGUAGGCGGUCUGUCGCGUCGGCUGUGAAAACCCGGAGCUCAACUCCGGGCCUGCAGUCGAUACGGGCAAACUGGAGUGUUGCAGGGGAGACUGGAAUUCCUGGUGUAGCGGUGAAAUGCGCAGAUAUCAGGAGGAACACCGGUGGCGAAGGCGGGUCUCUGGGCAGUAACUGACGCUGAGAAGCGAAAGCGUGGGGAGCGAGCAGG